AGAGUUUGAUCCUGGCUCAGGACGAACGCUGACGGUGUGCUUUAGGCAUGCAAGUCGAACGAGAAAGCCCUUUGGGGUGAGUAAAGUGGCGAACGGGUGAGUAACACGUGGGCAACCUGCCCCUCGCAGGGGGACAACCGGAGGAAACUCCGGCUAAUACCCCGUAAGCUCUACACGCCGCAUGGCGAGUAGAGGAAAGGUAGCUUCGGCCAUCCGGCGAGGGAUGGGCCCGCGGUGCAUUAGCUAGUUGGUGGGGUAACGGCCCACCAAGGCGACGAUGCGUAGCUGGUCUGAGAGGAUGAUCAGCCACACUGGGACUGAGACACGGCCCAGACUCCUACGGGAGGCAGCAGUCGGGAAUCUUGCGCAAUGGGCGAAAGCCUGACGCAGCAACACCGUGUGUGUGACGAAGGCCUUCGGGUCGUAAAGCACUGUUGUUGGGGACGAAGGGCGAAGGGUUAAUAGCCCCGAGCUUGACGGUACCCUUCGAGGAAGCCCCGGCUAACUACGUGCCAGCAGCCGCGGUAAUACGUAGGGGGCGAGCGUUGUCCGGAAUUAUUGGGCGUAAAGAGCGUGUAGGCGGUUCGGUAAGUCUGCUGUGAAAUCCUGGGGCUCAACCCCGGGCGUGCAGCGGAUACUGCCGGGCUAGAGGGUGGUAGAGGCGAGUGGAAUUCCCGGUGUAGCGGCGAAAUGCGCAGAUAUCGGGAGGAACACCAGUAGCGAAGGCGGCUCGCUGGGCCACACCUGACGCUGAGACGCGAAAGCGUGGGGAGCGAACAGGAUUAGAUACCCCGGUAGUCC
rnacentral:rRNA from 1 species